UGAUCCCAGGAGAAAACAUUCUACUCCUCAACAUGGGUCUUGCCUGAUUCAUUUACCAACUAUGACAAGCUCGUGGCACAGAGGAAAAUGGACAUAAGGUAGCGGUAACAGGCUGGCGACUGUGGCUUUUACACAUUGCUUCACACAACCCUGUCCAGGAGUUUUACACACUCACUAAACAAACAGAAGACACCAUCCAAUUCACUGGAGCCCCGUUGGAUAAAUACGGAAAGAAUGUGGGAGCUAUGUCAUGAACCACAAUGGUUUUGUGUUCUGUGUAAUUUGAAGACGAGAUUCCUUUGCUGUGUGUCACCUCCCAUAUUACCACUGUCGCCCAACAUUUCAUAACCAUCAACUCUUUGCCAGUGCCCACAUGCAAAGAUGGGUUUGUAUUAAAAAAUAAAUGAGAACAGCACAUUCUGAUGUGGUGUAGUAUAUCAGCAUUUUCCAUGAAACCUCGUCUCCGGCCUUCCCCUUUUAGGAAACAAAGGACCCGUGACAGAGCCUACUUAUCCCGUUACAGCUCCUGGUGAGAAGGGCGAAGCCAUGUCAGAAAUAAUAGAAAAGGCUUUUUCCUUUGAAAUAUCUAAACGUUCAAAGAUGGGAACAGCCGCAGGGGGGAGAAUACUGUGCUAUGCAAGUUGAUCUGAUUUUGUGGACCAUCCAUUUCCAAUUGGGAAGCUCACUUACUUUCAACUUGAAGCAUCAGAAAACCAGACUUACAGCAGCUUCAGCCUAUAGGGGUUUAUUUUUCUCAUGUAACAAGAAGAACAGAAGUGGACAGAGGCCGAGUUCUCAAGGACUCAGUUUCUUUCUGUCCCACCAACCUUACCAUGUUGGAUUGUCAUCUUUGUGCUUGUUGCCUCAUGAUGGCAAGAUGGCUGCAGCACCUCUGGGACUCACGACUGAUUUUUAAGCUCAAUCAUCCGGCCUUGUGAGAGACGCCCACAUGCUGAAGAGCCUUUCUGCAGUUCUGCAUUGAACUCUUCAUGUGGCCCCAUCUAGUAAUGAGUGCGAGUGGGAGACAGUGGAAUCUGUAGGAGGUUCCAGACCCAGCGACGACCAAGCCUGGGUGGUUCUGACACCAAGAACAAAACGCCUGCAAGAUCCACACUGGGAACUCAACCAAGAAGAAAGAAAAGAACAAACAAGAUCAAUUUCUUCCCCACAGGAGCCAGAAUUUUCCUAAGUCUCUACGAAUGUUCAGAGACAUCUUUAUCUCUUGCAGGAACUCUACCUCCUCUCCUGUCUCACCUCCUCCUGAAAAAAGAGACAAAGUCCCACUCCCAUCAAAACACCUCUGAGGUGUCAGCUUCAAAUGAUUUAUGAAUUACUUCUCCCAGCCUGGGUUAGCUUCAAAACUGGGAAUGGGUCAGGGUGUCAGCAUGGGAAGAACCUUUAAGAAUGUCAGGCUUUUAGAGCCUCAAAGCCACAAAUCUCUCAAAUGGUGCCCUCUCCAACCCUGGGCACUAGGUCCGAUGAGCAGGGGAUGGAGGCAUAUUUGGACAGGGGCCUGCAUCUGAGACCAGCCCCUGAUACCAAACCAAAUGUGUCUCUUGUAUUUUUAACUGCAAGCUCCCACCACCCUGAGUGAGUUUUUCCCAAAGCAGUGGUGUCACAAGCAGCCAUUCAGUUGGCCUUUGCAGUCAUGCUGACCCAGGGGUACUUGGUCUUCAUCGGAUUCUCAGUCUAAGCAUCAAUCCUCUGACAGAGGGACCUACCCCAGGCACUUCCAGCUCAGCAGAAAGCACCCUGAGCUAAUAAAGGAAGAUAUAAUUUAGAGGUCAUGCCCCAAAGCCAGCUAUUUCUGACUGCAGAUCCAGCUCCAACUAAAGCCAAGCCAAAAAUUAACAUUAUUUUGCAUUUUAAACAACUUACUAGUCUUUCAAAGGGUACUGAUUGGUGAACAGCAAUUUACAAUGAAGUAAUCAGUUGCAAACUACCAAUAAUUGCUAUCACUUCAAGUGUGAGUUUUUCCCCUCCCCAUUUUCUUCCCCCUGUUCUGUCUCUGUUUUUAAACCAACAAAUAUUUAUCAACCUUCUUUUAGACAAGGUGUGAGCUAGGAGCCAUGAGAGAUAAAAAGAUGCGGCUGCCAAGUAUUUGCAUGUGAGAUAUUCAUAGUCUGGCUAGGGUAGUAACAUGGUACACAUGGGGAAAAUAACCAAAUGUCAAAAGACUGAUAGGUGAUGAAUGUUGACUCUGUAAAAGUGAAAGUUACAUAGAAUGUUCAGGGAGCUUGAUUUUAAGUUGCCUGAGGGUUGUAAACUACUUUCCAGUAAGGUGUUUUCCUCUACCAGUGCUUCCCAAACAUAAAAGUCUAUAAAAUGAUUU
rnacentral:lncRNA from 10 species